rnacentral:rRNA from 1 species
UACGAAGGGGGCUAGCGUUGCUCGGAAUCACUGGGCGUAAAGAGCGUGUAGGCGGCCCGGUAAGUCCGCUGUAAAAGUCAAAGGCUCAACCUUUGAAUGUCAGUGGAUACUGCCGGGCUAGAGUCCGGAAGAGGCGAGUGGAACUCCUGGUGUAGCGGUGGAAUGCGCAGAUAUCAGGAAGAACACCCGUGGCGAAGGCGGCUCUCUGGGACGGUACUGACGCUGAGACGCGAAAGCGUGGGGAGCGAACAGG